UUUUUUUUUCUUUUUUUUUUUCUUUUUUCUUAUUUUUUAAAUGAAAAUGUUGAAUUUCUUCACCUCAGCUGCUUGCUUCUGGCGUGGGAUUGGAGCUGGAAAACCAGCCCCGAGAAGAUGGAUCCAGUUCAGGGAACGGAGCAGGGCUGGGAGCUGCACUUCGGGCAGCCCCAAAAGCCUCUGUCCAUGGUGCUGUGCACCCUCUCUGAGUGUUUCUGUUGGGGCGGGUGGUAUCUAAAGGUGCUUUCAGCCUCAGCCAUUUGGUGAUGCUGCGAAUUUGCACUCCCAUGAGCAUUUGCAUCAGUACAAGCUGCCCAGAGAAGUUGUGGGUGCUCCAUCCUUUUAGGUUACCAUGGAUGGUGCCCUGGGCAGCCUGAGCUGGUGACUGGAAACCAGACCAUGGCGGGGGGUUGGAACUGGGUGAUCACUGAGGUCUCUUCCAACCCAAGCUAUUCUGUUUGAUUCUAUGAUUCUAUGGGGGACGUACAAAGCCCUCAGGGCUUUGCAUUUCCAUGGGUUAAAUCCUAGGAUCUGGGACAUCCCCAUGUCACUGGGGGAAGCUCCCAUCCUAGCAGAAAGUUCUGCUCUUCAUUUUGGAAACUAAAUACAUAAAGAUGUCUGAAAUCUUUUGUUAUGCAUGUUUGUCCCCCAUAGUGGAGAUCAUUCUCCCAUUGCUCAGGUGUUGCAUGUACCAUCACCAGUCUCUUCCUCAGAGUACCAGGGAGAGUCAAUGCAUGAUCUCCUGUUCCACACAUUAUGCACUGUGCAUAAUAACAGUAUGCACUGUUAGUGAAGCAACACUCAUUGAGUCAGACUCUCAGAAAAGCAUCCCCCCCCCCCCCCCCCCCCCCCAAAAAAAAAGUAUCACCCCCGAAAAAUAAAAAUAACAAUAAAGUUAUCACCAUCGUCAUGGUGAGAAAACAUCCAGCAAAGAAAUGUGUUCAUCCAGGAGAAGCCACGGCAGCAUUUGACAUAGUGACCCAUGGGAAAACUUAUUUGAUGCUGUACGGUGGCCCAGCCCCAGUGCUGGCUCCUUCUGGUGCUUCAGAGGAAGCUGGGGAAUAACAUCAGAAAAUAUGGACAAAUGAUUAUGGAGGAAAGUAUGCUUUCAUGGGCCUUGGGGAUAACUUGAUGGGAAGGGGAAGCAGAGCUCUGGGUGGCAGGCACAGGGAGUCUAUCCAUGGUCUUCCACAUUCACUGUCUGGUCACAGCUCAGCUCUCCGAAAGCAAGUGAAACCAUGUUUUGGUUUUGUUGUUGUUGUUGUUGUUGUUUUGUUUGUUUGUUUGUUUGUUUUGUUUUGUUUUGUUUUUUGGGGGGGGGGAGGGGGGAGGUGGAGAAGGAGUCAAACAUUGCUGGUAGGCACCAGAGAUAGGGGAAUUAAACAGUAUCUAUCUUUCUUUUGGAAUCAGCUCAGACCUCUCUAUACAUGUGUCAGGAGUUAGGUGAGAUGGGUCCAGCUGCUGGCAGAUACUAGCUCUUAAAAGUUUUUACCCAUUUCUGGCAAUUUCUGCUAGGAUGUUUUCCUCUCCACUAGCAAAAUGUAUUUUAUUUCAGUUUCUCAACCUUCAUCUUCCAAGGCCAGAUCUGACACAAUUUCUCCUGCUGUCCCACAAAGUAAAUGCUCCCUGCACCAAACAAGCCCUUUUCUACCAUCCCUUCACUAUGUCAAGCUGGACAAAUCUUCAGCCCCAUAGCACAAAGACUAUUUUCCAGCAACUGAAAUAAUUUUUAUUUCUCUAUUCUUUUAAGUGUUUGGUCACCUUUUGUAAAGCAUGAGCAUAGGUUUCACUUACCUUAUGCAGAAGGGCAAGGUCUUGUUCCCGUGCUCACAGUUGUUUUCUUUAUCUCCAAGAAAGACCUUGUUUCUUUUCACUAAAAGUGCACGUUGAGCCAAUUAUGCAGUGACCUUGAAAUCUUCCUUGGUUGAGAAGCUGGCUGCCCUGUGGAUCCAGUUUUCAGCCUGUGUUCUGAGGAAGAUGCAUCGAGCUGUUAUAAUUCACCUUUUCUAAGGCUGUGCUUAGCCAGGAGACUGAGAUCACCCUGUGACACUGACCUGCUCUCGCGGGUACCCACCAUUCAUCAUUUGGUGUGCCACCAAUCAUUAUCGCAGAAUCACAGAAUGGCCUGAGUUGGAAGGGACCUCAAGGAUCAUGAAUCUCUAACUCCCCCACCACAGGCAGGGUCACCAACCUCCAUAUUUAAUACUAGACCAGGUUGCCCAGGGCCCCAUCCAACGUGGCCUUGAACACCUCGAGGGAUGGACGGGGCAUCCACAACCUCUCUGGGCAGCUGUUCCAGCACUUCACCACUCUCAUAGUAAAGAACUUCCCCCUGACAUCCAACCUGAAUCUUCCCUCCUUCAGCUUAUAACCAUUUCCCCUUGUCCUGCUGAUAUCUACCCUUGUAAAGAGUUGACUCCCCGUCUGUUUAUAGACUCCUCUUGGGCACUGAAAGGCUGUGAUGAGGUCAACCCGCAGCCUUCUCUUCUCCAGGCUCCCUCGGCCUGUCUUCUGUCUUCGAAGGGGAGGUGCUCCAGCCCUCUGAUCAUCUUUGUGGCCCUCCUCUGGACCCUCUCCAACAGCUCCACAUCUUUCUUGUAUUGAGGGCUCCAGAUCUGGACACAGUACUCCAGAUGGGGCCUCACAGGGCAGAAUAGAGAGGGACAAUCAUUCCCUGUCCCUGCUGCCACCCCUCUUCUGAUGGAGCCCAGGAUACCACUUGCUUUCCGAGCUGCAAGAGCACACUACUGGCUCAUGUUCAGUUUUUCACCCACCAGGACCCCCAGGUUCUUCUCUGCAGUGCUAAUCUCAAGGACUGCUCCUAUAUACCAAGUCUGCAUAUAUGCCUGGGAUUCCUUCAGCCCAAGUGCAAAACCUUGCACUUUGCUGUAUUGAACCUCAUUAGAUUCACCCAGGCCCACCUUUCAAGUUUGUUGAGGUCCCUCUGAAUGUCCUCCCUUCCUUCCACUGUGUCAAUCACACCACUCAGCUUGGUAAAAACUGUUGUUACCAAAAACUACCUUGCUUUAAAUCAUUGAUAAAUAUAUCAAAAUGCACUGGAGCAAGGACUAAUCCCUAAAAGUAGCCAAGGAAAAUGGCAACACUUGAAGCUGGUCCACUUGAUGAACCAGGUUUGGUUCUGCCCCGUGUGUCAGGCCAGAUAAGACCAAUGUUUUCAUCAAAAUAUCAUGGGUAGUAAAUCAAGUGCUAUCAUGAGAACUACUCUGUCUUGCCUGUUCAAAUGGGCCAACAUAGACAGAUCUCAUCAUGUUUGAAUACAGGGCCAUAGUGAGAGGCCUCUGACUUAUCUUUCAAGGGGCUGCUGAGAUUUUCUCCUUGCUUUUGUGCUGGGACCAAAGAAGAAUUUGUUCUCUUCCGCAUCCCUUUCAGAAAGCAAUUAAGGCCUACGUGACAUCUCACAUACGGCUGGAAAGUACUGAAAAUAGAGAAUGAUGAAAGUUCUGUUUUUUCAGGAUUUGCCUGGAAAACAACUUCUCACACCAGCACACUACAUAAACCACAAGCCCUAGCACCUACUUGUCCUCCAGCGUGCUGUUUUGAAAAACACAAGCUUUGCUAAGCCCCUCCAACACACCCUAGUCAGGAUUUACUCCAGGAAGAAUGACUGGAGUCUGUGCAAAUGUCAGUACAUCCUCUGGGACAGCAGCUUUGUAGCUGCAACUCAGAGAAAGGCUGAAGAAUCAGAUUUGUUUGGUAUUCCUGGUAGGAUAUUUCAAGAAAAAAAAAAAAAAAA
ensembl:lncRNA